rnacentral:rRNA from 1 species
UUUUCGAGAGCAGCUACCAUGCAGGCGAGCGGAUGAAGUAGCUUGCUACCGGAUUCAGCGGCGGACGGGUGAGUAAUGCUUAGGAAUCUGCCUAUUAGUGGGGGACAACGUUCCGAAAGGAGCGCUAAUACCGCAUACGUCCUACAGGAGAAAGCAGGGGACCUUCGGGCCUUGCGCUAAUAGAUGAGCCUAAGUCGGAUUAGCUAGUUGGUAGGGUAAAGGCCUACCAAGGCGACGAUCUGUAGCGGGUCUGAGAGGAUGAUCCGCCACACUGGGACUGAGACACGGCCCAGACUCCUACGGGAGGCAGCAGUGGGGAAUAUUGGACAAUGGGGGGAACCCUGAUCCAGCCAUGCCGCGUGUGUGAAGAAGGCCUUUUGGUUGUAAAGCACUUUAAGCGAGGAGGAGGCUACCUAGAUUAAUACUUUAGGAUAGUGGACGUUACUCGCAGAAUAAGCACCGGCUAACUCUGUGCCAGCAGCCGCGGUAAUACAGAGGGUGCGAGCGUUAAUCGGAUUUACUGGGCGUAAAGCGUGCGUAGGCGGCCAAUUAAGUCAAAUGUGAAAUCCCCGAGCUUAACUUGGGAAUUGCAUUCGAUACUGGUUGGCUAGAGUAUGGGAGAGGAUGGUAGAAUUCCAGGUGUAGCGGUGAAAUGCGUAGAGAUCUGGAGGAAUACCGAUGGCGAAGGCAGCCAUCUGGCCUAAUACUGACGCUGAGGUACGAAAGCAUGGGGAGCAAACAGGAUUAGAUACCCUGGUAGUCCAUGCCGUAAACGAUGUCUACUAGCCGUUGGGGCCCUUGAGGCUUUAGUGGCGCAGCUAACGCGAUAAGUAGACCGCCUGGGGAGUACGGUCGCAAGACUAAACUCAAAUGAAUUGACGGGGGCCCGCACAAGCGGGGAGCAUGUGGUUUAAUUCGAUGCAACGCGAAAAC